rnacentral:rRNA from 1 species
UCACGCAUCGCGUCUCCCCCAUCCACCCCGUGUGGAGGGGAAGGAGGAUGGUCUCCCGCGGCUCACCGGUCGCGGCUGGCCUAAAAUCGGAGCCCUCGGCAUCGGGAUGCCGCGGCGAUAGGUGGUGAACAAGGCCUCGGCCAAGCAAGCAACCCGUCGCGCGUCGCGGUGCCAAUGUGAGCUCGAAGGACCCUUUGACGUUGCCUAACGGCAACAAAACCGUUGCGAC